AGUGAACGCUGGCGGUAGGCCUAACACAUGCAAGUCGAACGGCAGCACAGUAAGAGCUUGCUCUUACGGGUGGCGAGUGGCGGACGGGUGAGGAAUACAUCGGAAUCUACUUUUUCGUGGGGGAUAACGUAGGGAAACUUACGCUAAUACCGCAUACGACCUACGGGUGAAAGCAGGGGAUCUUCGGACCUUACGCGAUUGAAUGAGCCGAUGUCGGAUUAGCUAGUUGGCGGGGUAAAGGCCCACCAAGGCGACGAUCCGUAGCUGGUCUGAGAGGAUGAUCAGCCACACUGGAACUGAGACACGGUCCAGACUCCUACGGGAGGCAGCAGUGGGGAAUAUUGGACAAUGGGCGCAAGCCUGAUCCAGCCAUACUGCGUGGGUGAAGAAGGCCUUCGGGUUGUAAAGCCCUUUUGUUGGGAAAGAAAAGCAGCAGGUUAAUACCCCGCUGUUCUGACGGUACCCAAAGAAUAAGCACCGGCUAACUUCGUG
rnacentral:rRNA from 1 species